rnacentral:lncRNA from 1 species
GGGUUUGAGAUUGGAAAAGUUUUGAGAGCUUUAUUUUCAUCUCCAUCUCAGAUCUCCUAGGAGCAUCAAACAUAUUUUAUGAGUAAUGUUCUUCAUCGAAUAUUUCUAAAUCUAUCUUUGAAAUUGCUUGCUUAAAUUCAUUUUAUAUGCUCAUUUGUUUUGGCUAGGAGUUUUACAUUUUCAAAAGAGUUGAUUUUAGCUUUGAGCUACCACUUGUGUUCUUCAUUGAAACCCUAGUCACAAAACCAUAUUCAUGCAUCAAAUACCCAAUCACUACAUAUUAAGGUAGCAUUGUCUUCAUGGUUUUAUUUUAAUUUAGUGGCCAAGUUCUUCAAGUUUCAAAUCUUUAAACUGGCCCCAUAUUCGGAUUCUCAUCAAUUUCUUUUUUCAACUGUUUGACUGAAGAAACUGACUAGUCAUUGAAUCAUGUGCAUUUGUUGUGUGUUGGUCUCGAUGCCACAAGGUGAAGAGUUCAGGAGGAGCUGUCAUCUUGUGAAGAUUGGAAACAAUACAUUUUCGGUGAGUUUCAAAUCUUUAAACUGGCCCCAUAUUCGGAUUCUCAUCAAUUUCUUUUUUCAACUGUUUGACUGAAGAAACUGACUAGUCAUUGAAUCAUGUGCAUUUGUUGUGUGUUGGUCUCGAUGCCACAAGGUGAAGAGUUCAGGAGGAGCUGUCAUCUUGUGAAGAUUGGAAACAAUACAUUUUCGGUGCCACAAGGUGAAGAGCUUAUGAGGAGCUGCCAAGACCGAAAGAAUCCGUCUCAUGUAAGGCAAUGUGCACAAAGGUAAAGCUACUCCGUAGACUAGGUCUAGGAAUUGAGCUUUGUGUGGUACUUUGUAAGAAUCUUGUUUACACUAGUAUAUUAGACUCAGUGGAGAGUCCUCGGUUUUUUAACCCAGAUGUGAGCUUUUUUUGCCAAAAACUUAUUGCGUUCUUUGUCUCUUAAACUUAUCCACAUAUCUUAUUUACUUGCAUAUGCUUCAUGCAUCCUAUGAAUUGUUAGUUGAUAUUUGUUAGAGACUAAGUUUACACUGCAUAUUAUGAGCAACGAACUGAAUUGUUGUUGACUAGAAUGAAUAACUAGUAGUGAACUAAUUUUAAGUGGUAGAUUUGCGUUUGAUUAACUGACAAAUUUGUAUUUAGUUGCCUGGUGAACUUCACCAGUCAAUCCAGUAUACUUUAAUUCACAAUUGUUUUGUCAUUGUUGUUUGCAUAAUGAACUGAUAUGUAAAUGUGUUCAAGUUUAGGAAUUAUUGUUGUGAAACUAAUAUGGGCAGACUCUGAUUAGUUGAACAUAUUGGUCAGUUAAGUUUUGUUCUUCCAGUUGCACUUUUUAUCACUGACUAACUUGUAACUAGUUGGCUAGCUCAUUUGACUAGUUUACUGUACAAAGUUAAAUUUUUAUUUGUAUGAUAUUCCGUCUAGCUCAUCUGACUAGUUUUCACUUUCAAGAUUUUGUUUUGUUUCAACACUUCGAUGCGGUUUUAAAAUGUUGGUUAUGAAAGUCUCGUAAACCUACAUACUAUGAUGGGAGAUGCAGAAGGGGCCUAAGCCUAUCCUGACCCCUCAUGUGGCUCUGUCACUAUCAUAAGUUUAUAUUUCAGACAAAUAUACAAUUUUUUUUCCAAGAAAAAGGUAAAUAUACAAUUUAACUUUUUAGGGCUCAUUCAAAAUAAAAAGUCAAAAUUUAAAGUAAAAAACUACUUAAGGUUGUUUUCACUUUCAAGCUUUUGUUGUAUUCAUUAUUUGUUUAUAUUAUCAUCCUUCUUACUCCUACCUUUCCUCUAUAUACUUUCCUCACAUCUCAAAGUACUAAAAAUACGUAAAACAUAAAAUUAAAACAAAAUGAUUACCAAAGUACCUUUAAAUAUUUAUAUAUGCAAAAAAAUCGCAUACCACAAUACUAUAUACAUGGUCCAUAUAAGGGGUUUGUAUCAAUGCAGAAUAAAAUUAGGGAUAUCAUCAAAUAGCAUAUUGAAAGAGUUUCUUUUCACUCCUUGUGCAUGUAAUGGGGUUGCGCAUUAGGUGACGUCUUAUGUCAUGCGUGUGGGGGCUAUCAUAUGUGGGGUUGCUUUGAACCGAAGAGGUUGUUUAAUUUUCUGACUUUUGAUGUAAACAUUUCAAUUCGUAUCUAAUAAUAUUUAAUCUUCAAAUUUAGUGAUGCGCCAAUUCCAAUUUAGUUGAUGACAAAUUUAGGGUUGAAAGAUGGAUGUGUUUUCAAGCUUUGCAUAUUGGCAUUGUUGUCAAAUGAAAAUUCAAUGCUUGUCUGAAGAAUUGUCUUUUCGAGUAAGGAAUAUAUGAGCUCAUUUGGAAGUACUUUUAAAAUUAUUGAAAACACUUUUGGUGAAACUAUUUUCAAAACCAAUCAUUAGUAAAAAUUCAAGUGAAUCAUGAAAAAUCAUUUUAAGUGCUUUCUCCAAGAAGCAUAUAUUAGGUGCUUCUUCCAAAAAGACACUUAGUGUUUUUGGAACUCAAAUCAAUUUUAACAAAAACGCUUCCAAUCAUUUUAAAAGUACUUUCCAAACGAGCCCUAUAUCUCUUUCAACACUUUAUAUAUCAAUACAUGCUUUACAUAUGUUAAUUUAGGACCACUUCUCUAGAAAUGAGAUCUCUUAACAAAAUAAUAUUAUUUACAUAAACGAGAUCGAAAAUAUAUAUACACAAGCCCUAGAAAAUUUCUCUAGUUUGCACUUUUUGAAAGAUCUUUCAAUUUCAAACCAUCUUUAUGCAUGUUUGAUUGUGAAUGUACAUGAUUCUAAAAAUUUUAUUUAACAAAAAGCUUAAGCUCAAUGCAUAGGAUAUUCCAAUCGAAGACAAGCCGCCUACAAUACUUUAUUAUUGAUAGUCAUGUUUCAUUAAAAUCUUCGCAACCCUUCCUUUGCACCGCCAUUCAAAAGUAUAUAUGGAAUCUUGUUGCUUUAUCGACUGUGUAUUUCUAGCCAUCAUUUUACAGGUUCAAACUCUCAUUUUUUCACAAGCACUAAACUAAGAUGAGAGUUACUUCCAUUGUUUUAAAACUCAAGAUUUCAACCGCAUUUAGCCCAAUUGACCUUUUUAUUUUGGGAAUUUUAACGAAAAGCACCCGUUACUGUUCACUUUAACGAAAAGCCACAUUUUUACACUAAAAAGUCAAUCCUGAUACUAUUCACUUUACCCUUUAUUUUGUCCUUAUCAUUAAAACUCAAAGUUUUCAAGCCUUUUUUAUUAGUUUUCCUUUUUAUUUUUCUAUACUUUGUCAAGGUGCUUUUCUAGGAUAAUGUAUACUUGCAACAAGUGUACCACCAAUAGGAAUAGAAUCCUCUCCAGAUUCUCUUUAUUGGAAUCCGGAGGAUUAAUCAAUCAUAUAUCAUACAUCGUGCAAUUAGAAAUUAUUUUUAAUUUUUAAUUUAAAAUUAAAUAUAAAUAGUACCUAACAAAAACUGACCUCAUGAUAUACAAUGAACGAACACAAUUGAUUGAUCUCCGAAUCCCCACAAAAAAUAUCUAGCGAGGAUGCUUGUCCCCACC